rnacentral:tRNA from 2 species
GCCAGGGUAGCCCAACUGGAAGGAGGCGCCUGAUUUAGGAUCAGGGCAGUGCAGGUUCGAAUCCUGUCCCUGGUA